GGUCUCGUCGUUCAAUGGAUAGGACGCAACUUUGCGGAAGUUGUAAUGUAGGUUCGAUUCCUAUCGAGGCCACCA
rnacentral:tRNA from 1 species